rnacentral:rRNA from 1 species
GAUGAACGCUGGCGGCGUGCUUAACACAUGCAAGUCGAACGGAAAGGCUCCUGCUUGCAGGGGUACUCGAGUGGCGAACGGGUGAGUAACACGUGGGUGAUCUGCCCUGCACUUCGGGAUAAGCCUGGGUAACUGGGUCUAAUACCGGAUAGGACGAUGGUUUGGAUGCCAUUGUGGAAAGUUUUUCGGUGUGGGAUGAGCUCGCGGCCUAUCAGCUUGUUGGUGGGGUAAUGGCCUACCAAGGCGUCGACGGGUAGCCGGCCUGAGAGGGUGUACGGCCACAUUGGGACUGAGAUACGGCCCAGACUCCUACGGGGGGCAGCAGUGGGGAAUAUUGCCCAAUGGGCGCAAGCCUGAUGCAGCGACGCCGCGUGGGGGAUGACGGCCUUCGGGUUGUAAACUCCUUUCGCUAGGGACGAAGCGCAAGUGACGGUACCUGGAGAAGAAGCACCGGCUAACUACGUG